GACGGAAGGUGCAAGCGUUAUUCGGAAUCACUGGGCUUACAGGGUGCGUAGGCGGCUUAGCAAGUCAGGUGUGAAAGCCCCCGGCUCAACCGGGGAACUGCGCUUGAAACUGCUGAGCUCGAGUCAGCUAGAGGUACACGGAACUUCCAGUGGAGCGGUGAAAUGUGUUGAUAUUGGAAGGAACACCGGAGGCGAAAGCGGUGUACUGGGGCUGGUCUGACGCUGAGGCACGAAAGCCAGGGGAGCGAACGGG
rnacentral:rRNA from 1 species